UUCUUUCUCAGAGACUUUUUAUAAAAAGCAAUGAGCUCAUCCUAUUGUGUGUUUUGCAGGCUAUGUGGCACUCCCAGGGAAGCACUAUUGGUCUUGGAAAGAAUUGGUGCAGUUUUAAGAAGCUACAACUGAAGUGGGAUGUGGAUGGGGACCUCCCAUUAGAUGCAGAGACAAUGAUCGUAACUGCCUUCUUGACUACCAUCCACAGCAGUGAAUCCAGAUCACAGCAAGAAAAGGACUUGGGCUUCUUCCAGCCAAUGAUUUAUUUGUUCCACAGAGAAGUGCUGGGGGAUGUGGCCUUCUCCUGCAACUGAUCUUCUGAAACUUUAACAGCUGUUUUUUAAGAGCACAGUUCAAUCUUCUUCAUACUGUGACUCUUGAGACAGAGAGCUCUCAGGAAGGACAGCCAGGAUAGCUACAGUGUGA
rnacentral:lncRNA from 1 species